GGGCGGUUAGCUCAGUUGGUUAGAGCGCCAGUCUCACAUACUGGAGGUCACUGGUUCAAAUCCAGUACCGCCCA
rnacentral:tRNA from 1 species